rnacentral:rRNA from 1 species
GGCGCACGGGUGAGUAAUAUAUAAGCAAUCUACCCUUAGGUAAGGAAUAACGUCGAGAAAUCGGCGCUAAUACCAUAUAAUGCAGCGGCAUCGCAUGAUGAUGUUGUUAAAGUUUUUUUAACGCCUAUGGAUGAGCUUGUAUCUGAUUAGCUAGUUGGUGAGGUAACGGCCCACCAAGGCUACGAUCAGUAGCUGGCCUGAGAGGAUGAUCAGCCACAUUGGAACUGAGACACGGUCCAGACUCCUACGGGAGGCAGCAGUGAGGAAUAUUGGGCAAUGGGCGAAAGCCUGACCCAGCAACGCCGCGUGAAGGAUGAAUGUCGUAAGAUUGUAAACUUCUUUUGGAGGGGAUGAAAAAACAGGUUUGAAGCCUGAAUUGACGGUACCCUCAGAAUAAGCCCCGGCUAACUACGUGCCAGCAGCCGCGGUAAUACGUAGGGGGCAAGCGUUGUCCGGAUUUACUGGGUGUAAAGGGCGCGCAGGCGGGUUUGUCAGUCAGGGGUGAAAUCCUACAGCUUAACUGUAGAACUGCCUUUGAUACUGCAAACCUUGAGUACGGAAGAGAGAGGCGGAAUUCCAGGUGUAGUGGUGAAAUACGUAGAUAUCUGGAAGAACACCAGAGGCGAAGGCGGUCUCUUGG